AGAGUUUGAUCAUGGCUCAGGAUGAACGCUAGCUACAGGCUUAACACAUGCAAGUCGAGGGGAAACGACAUCGAAAGCUUGCUUUUGAUGGGCGUCGACCGGCGCACGGGUGAGUAACGCGUAUCCAACCUGCCCAUCACUUGGGGAUAACCUUGUGAAAGUAAGACUAAUACCCAAUGACGUCUCUAGAAGACAUCUGAAAGAGAUUAAAGAUUUAUCGGUGAUGGAUGGGGAUGCGUCUGAUUAGCUUGUUGGCGGGGUAACGGCCACCAAGGCGACGAUCAGUAGGGGUUCUGAGAGGAAGGUCCCCCANAUUGGAACUGAGACACGGUCAAACUCCUACGGGAGCA
rnacentral:rRNA from 1 species